rnacentral:tRNA from 1 species
GGGUGAUUAGCUCAGCUGGGAGAGCACCGACCUUACAAGGAGGGGGUCGGCGGUUCGAUCCCGUCAUCACCCACCA